CUCCUCCUUCUGGUCGCAGACUCUUCCGGUUAGGUCGGCUAGCUCCGAAAAAUCCAUCAUCUUCAUCUGCCAUUCUUCUAUCGUUGGUAAUUCUUGGGUUUUCCACUUUUUAGCUAAUAAAAUACGCGCAGCAGUCGUGGCAUAUUAAAACAAUUUAACAUCUCUCUUGGGUAGUUCCAAACCUGUUAUUCUAAGAAGUAAGGCCUCUGGUUUCUUUAUAAAUGUAUGUUUCAACAUUUUUUUCAAACCGUUAUAUAUAUUUUCCCAGAAGUCUUUCACCUUGGGGCAGGUCCACCACAUAUGAUAAAAUGUUC